UUCGGCUAGGGGGUCAUCCCGACUUACCAACCCGAUGCAAACUACGAAUACCGAAGAAUGUUAUCACGGGAGACACACGGCGGGUGCUAACGUCCGUCGUGAAGAGGGAAACAACCCAGACCGCCAGCUAAGGUCCCAAAGUCAUGGUUAAGUGGGAAACGAUGUGGGAAGGCACAGACAGCCAGGAUGUUGGCUUAGAAGCAGCCAUCAUUUAAAGAAAGCGUAAUAGCUCACUGGUCGAGUCGGCCUGCGCGGAAGAUGUAACGGGGCUAAACCAUGCACCGAAGCUGCGGCAGCGACACUAUGUGUUGUUGGGUAGGGGAGCGUUCUGUAAGCCUGCGAAGGUGACCUGUGAGGGUUGCUGGAGGUAUCAGAAGUGCGAAUGCUGACAUAAGUAACGAUAAAGCGGGUGAAAAGCCCGCUCGCCGGAAGACCAAGGGUUCCUGUCCAACGUUAAUCGGGGCAGGGUGAGUCGACCCCUAAGGCGAGGCCGAAAGGCGUAGUCGAUGGGAAACAGGUUAAUAUUCCUGUACUUGGUGUUACUGCGAAGGGGGGACGGAGAAGGCUAUGUUAGCCGGGCGACGGUUGUCCCGGUUUAAGCAUGUAGGCUGGUUGUCCAGGCAAAUCCGGAUAAUCAAGGCUGAGGUGUGAUGACGAGGCACUACGGUGCUGAAGUAACAAAUGCCCUGCUUCCAGGAAAAGCCUCUAAGCAUCAGGUAACAUCAAAUCGUACCCCAAACCGACACAGGUGGUCAGGUAGAGAAUACCAAGGCGCUUGAGAGAACUCGGGUGAAGGAACUAGGCAAAAUGGUGCCGUAACUUCGGGAGAAGGCACGCUGGUGUGUAGGUGAAGUCCCUGCGGAUGGAGCUGAGACCAGUCGAAGAUACCAGCUGGCUGCAACUGUUUAUUAAAAACACAGCACUGUGCAAACACGAAAGUGGACGUAUACGGUGUGACGCCUGCCCGGUGCCGGAAGGUUAAUUGAUGGGGUUAUCCGUAAGGAGAAGCUCUUGAUCGAAGCCCCGGUAAACGGCGGCCGUAACUAUAACGGUCCUAAGGUAGCGAAAUUCCUUGUCGGGUAAGUUCCGACCUGCACGAAUGGCGUAAUGAUGGCCAGGCUGUCUCCACCCGAGACUCAGUGAAAUUGAACUCGCUGUGAAGAUGCAGUGUACCCGCGGCAAGACGGAAAGACCCCGUGAACCUUUACUAUAGCUUGACACUGAACAUUGAGCCUUGAUGUGUAGGAUAGGUGGGAGGCUUUGAAGCGUGGACGCCAGUCUGCGUGGAGCCAACCUUGAAAUACCACCCUUUAAUGUUUGAUGUUCUAACGUUGGCCCCUUAUCGGGGUUGCGGACAGUGUCUGGUGGGUAGUUUGACUGGGGCGGUCUCCUCCCAAAGCGUAACGGAGGAGCACGAAGGUUAGCUAAUCCUGGUCGGACAUCAGGAGGUUAGUGCAAUGGCAUAAGCUAGCUUGACUGCGAGCGUGACGGCGCGAGCAGGUGCGAAAGCAGGUCAUAGUGAUCCGGUGGUUCUGAAUGGAAGGGCCAUCGCUCAACGGAUAAAAGGUACUCCGGGGAUAACAGGCUGAUACCGCCCAAGAGUUCAUAUCGACGGCGGUGUUUGGCACCUCGAUGUCGGCUCAUCACAACCUGGGGCUGAAGUAGGUCCCAAGGGUAUGGCUGUUCGCCAUUUAAAGUGGUACGCGAGCUGGGUUUAGAACGUCGUGAGACAGUUCGGUCCCUAUCUGCCGUGGGCGCUGGAGAAUUGAGGGGGGCUGCUCCUAGUACGAGAGGACCGGAGUGGACGCAUCACUGGUGUUCGGGUUGUCAUGCCAAUGGCACUGCCCGGUAGCUAAAUGCGGAAGAGAUAAGUGCUGAAAGCAUCUAAGCACGAAACUUGCCCCGAGAUGAGUUCUCCCUGAGACUUUAAGUCUCCUGAAGGAACGUUAAAGACGAUGACGUUGAUAGGCCGGGUGUGUAAGCGCAGCGAUGCGUUGAGCUAACCGGUACUAAUGAACCGUGAGGCUUAACCUU
rnacentral:rRNA from 1 species